GGAAGAUUAGCUCAGCUGGGAGAGCACCUGCCUUACAAGCAGGGGGUCGUCGGUUCGAGCCCGGCAUCUUCCA
rnacentral:tRNA from 5 species